rnacentral:rRNA from 1 species
CCUACGGGCGGCAGCAGUCGAGAAUCAUUCACAAUGGGGGAAACCCUGAUGGUGCGACGCCGCGUGGGGGAAUGAAGGUCUUCGGAUUGUAAACCCCUGUCAUGUGGGAGCAAAUUAAAAAGAUAGUACCCCAAGAGGAAGCGACGGCUAACUCUGUGCCAGCAGCCGCGGUAAUACAGCGGUCUCAAGCGUUGUUCGGAAUCACUGGGCGUAAAGCGUGCGUAGGCUGUUUCGACAGUCGUGUGUGAAAGGCGCGGGCUCAACCCGCGGACGGCACAUGAUACUGCGAGACUAGAGUAAUGGAGGGGGAACCGGAAUUCUCGGUGUAGCAGGGAAAUGCGUAGAUAUCGAGAGGAACACUCGUGGCGAAGGCGGGUUCCUGGACAUUAACUGACGCUGAGGCACGAAGGCCAGGGGAGCGAAAGGGAUUAGAUACCCCUGUAGUC